rnacentral:rRNA from 1 species
GUGCAGAAGGGGGAGAGGGGGAUUUCCCACGUGGAGCGGAAAAAUGUAUAGAGAUUGGAGGAGACACCCCCAGGGGAGAAGGGGGGUCUUUCUGUCUCUGUAAAGAGACUGUGAGGGCGAGAAAGCGUGGGGAGCAACACGGGUUUGAGAUACCCUUAUUGUCACACGGUGUAAAGAGGAGAGUUAUAAGUUAUAGAGGGUUUCCGCCCUAUAGUGGCACAGCAAGCGCUUUACGCUCUCCGCGGGGAGAGUACUGUCACAAGAGUGAAACUCAAGAGAAGUGGCGGGGGCCCGCACAAGCGGGGGCGCAUGGGGUAUAAUUAGAAAAAACGAGAAGAACCUUCCCAUGUCGACACAUCCUUUGACAACCCAAGAGAUAAGGUUUCCCCUUGGGGGGCAGAGUGACAGGUGGUGCAUGGUUGUCGUCAGCUCGUGUCGUGAGAUGUUGGGUUAAGUCCCGCAACGAGCGCAACCCUUGAUUUUAGUUGCCAUCAUUCAGUUGGGCACUCUAAGGUGACUGCCGGUGACAAACCGGAGGAAGGUGGGGAUGACGUCAAAUCAUCAUGCCCCUUAUGACCUGGGCUACACACGUGCUACAAUGGGCGGAACAAAGGGCAGCGAAGUCGCGAGGGUGAGCCAAUCCCACAAAUUUGUUCUCAGUUCGGAUCGCAGUCUGCAACUCGCCUGCGUGAAGCCGGAAUCGCUAGUAAUCGCGGAUCAGCAUGCCGCGGUGAAUACGUUCCCGGGCCUUGUACACACCGCCCGUCACA